rnacentral:lncRNA from 1 species
UUGUAAGAGGGUGGGCGGCUUCAUUCUUGAAGUCAGUGAGACCAAGAACCCACCAAUUCCGGACACACCCUUAAUCUCCAAUAUUGGAAGCACUUACAAAUUCAUGGACUAUUAUGAAGACAAGUUAAGAGAUUGUGUCCUCCAAACUCAUCAUUUUUCAGAAAUUGUAUCACAAUCCUACAAGAUAAAUGCACAAGAUAAUUCUUCAAAUCAUUGAGAGUGUAAUCUAUAAUCUUCCUAAACAACGAACAGUAUAGCACUGGUUAAGGAAAUCAUAUAUCAGCAUAAAGAAAUGUCAACAAGAACUAAGAAGGAUCCAGUUCUGAAUCUCGUUAGCAAGUUCAAAGCAAGGCCAAGAAGAUGCAAUUCCCACUGGAAACCUUAUGAGACAGUUAGAAGGGAAGGGGAGCAAAUGUUCACCAGGUGAGCACUGGAACGCAGCCACUGCACAAAUGCAAUCCUGUUCUAUUCUCACAGCAAUCUUCCAUGAGAAGUAUUUAUUACUAUACAUGAAGAAACUCAAGCUCUCCAUCAUUAGGUCACUGUCCAAUAUCACACAGCUGCAUAUAACAGGUUUGAAUUCAAUUUCCUCUGUGUCCAACUGAAAAUCCCACAAUUUCCACUCACGGCAUCCUCCCACCCAGUGCAGGUUUGGUGCAAAAACGUAGGACACAGGAGAGGAAAUUGAGUUUAGGUAAGACUCAGAAAAUUGACGAGUUUUCAAAUUAGGAGAGGCAUGAAAUGAAGAGGAGAAGGAGCAGCUGGGAGCGUGGAGAAGCAUAAACUCCGAAAUAACUGGCUAAGGAAAAUGGGGAUGCACAGACUGUGGCAUAGAAGCACUGAAGAGGGGAGGCAUGGAUUGGAAUGAUACAGGCUGUGUCAAUAUAGGGUCUGUCACAAACAAGCUAUGUAAAUGUGAGAAAAUUAACCACUCUAACUUCACAUUCCCCCUAUGGAAAAAAAAAGGGGGGGGGGCAGGGGCUAAGGAUGUCUAUUUCAAACCAUGUGGCAAUUAAAUAAAACAAUCUAUGUAACUCUAGUAGCCUCAUGGUUGGCACAUUACAUGCAUUAAAAUGCACAUUUCUCUCCCUUUCAUGGAAUCCCCUGAUGCAUCCCCGAACCUUUCUCGGUAGGAUUUGGAAUGUGCAUGCACAGAUUGCGGAUAGAUAGACUGCCACCCUCGUCAUUGCAGAAGGAAACUUGUGAGUUAUGCCCAGUGCAAUUCUUUCCAACUCUGAUUCCACUGUGGUUACUGCUGAUGGACUCUAGGUGGCCACAGAUGAUACAAACAUGUUCCCAUGGAGCCUCAUGUCAUCCUGACAUGCUGUUCCAGUCUAAGGUAACUGCUGUUCUUCAGUUUAGAAAAGGAGCAACUGUUUUGGAUACAUUUUCAGUGCCAGAACUCUUUCUCCACUGCCUUAGACUUCUCAGUGGUGAAGUGAGAAGGAGUUUUGACAGCUACAGAGCAACAUUUCCAAACGAGAAAAGAAAACAAGGCAAACUUUUUAUAAAUUAUUCAAAUAAUAUGUUAAAUUCAAGGAAAAGAAAAUUUCCAUUUUAUGGUGAAGACUGAUGUUUCCUAAGUCUAUUGGUAAGCUGAGAAACUGCUCUGUGAGCUCUUUCAUUGAAAAUAUUGAAUGACCACAGCUGUUAAAUCUUGCUAAAGGUGUCCUCAGUUCACACUACAACAUGCUUGGGUGCAGGGUCUGGAAGCAAUGACAAAUCAGUGAGACUCCAACACUGAGCUGAAAUGUUCUGUUUUUGCAGUGACAUCAGACCUUAUUAUUGCCCCUGUCUUCCUUCCGUCCUUCCCUCUCCAGGUGUAACUACUAACCCUUACUUGACUUAUAUUACCUCUAUAUGAACUUUCAUACUUUUUUUUUU